rnacentral:rRNA from 1 species
CGGGACACGUGGUAUCCUGUCUGAAUAUGGGGGGACCAUCCUCCAAGGCUAAAUACUCCUGACUGACCGAUAGUGAACCAGUACCGUGAGGGAAAGGCGAAAAGAACCCCGGCGAGGGGAGUGAAAAAGAACCUGAAACCGUGUACGUACAAGCAGUGGGAGCACGCUUAGGCGUGUGACUGCGUACCUUUUGUAUAAUGGGUCAGCGACUUAUAUUCUGUAGCAAGGUUAACCGAAUAGGGGAGCCGAAGGGAAACCGAGUCUUAACUGGGCGUUAAGUUGCAGGGUAUAGACCCGAAACCCGGUGAUCUAGCCAUGGGCAGGUUGAAGGUUGGGUAACACUAACUGGAGGACCGAACCGACUAAUGUUGAAAAAUUAGCGGAUGACUUGUGGCUGGGGGUGAAAGGCCAAUCAAACCGGGAGAUAGCUGGUUCUCCCCGAAAGCUAUUUAGGUAGCGCCUCGUGAAUUCAUCUCCGGGGGUAGAGCACUGUUUCGGCAAGGGGGUCAUCCCGACUUACCAACCCGAUGCAAACUGCGAAUACCGGAGAAUGUUAUCACGGGAGACACACGGCGGGUGCUAACGUCCGUCGUGAAGAGGGAAACAACCCAGACCGCCAGCUAAGGUCCCAAAGUCAUGGUUAAGUGGGAAACGAUGUGGGAAGGCCCAGACAGCCAGGAUGUUGGCUUAGAAGCAGCCAUCAUUUAAAGAAAGCGUAAUAGCUCACUGGUCGAGUCGGCCUGCGCGGAAGAUGUAACGGGGCUAAACCAUGCACCGAAGCUGCGGCAGCGACGCUGAUGCGUUGUUGGGUAGGGGAGCGUUCUGUAAGCCUGUGAAGGUGUGCUGUGAGGCAUGCUGGAGGUAUCAGAAGUGCGAAUGCUGACAUAAGUAACGAUAAAGCGGGUGAAAAGCCCGCUCGCCGGAAGACCAAGGGUUCCUGUCCAACGUUAAUCGGGGCAGGGUGAGUCGACCCCUAAGGCGAGGCCGAAAGGCGUAGUCGAUGGGAAACAGGUUAAUAUUCCUGUACUUGGUGUUACUGCGAAGGGGGGACGGAGAAGGCUAUGUUGGCCGGGCGACGGUUGUCCCGGUUUAAGCGUGUAGGCUGGUUUUCCAGGCAAAUCCGGAAAAUCAAGGCUGAGGCGUGAUGACGAGGCACUACGGUGCUGAAGCAACAAAUGCCCUGCUUCCAGGAAAAGCCUCUAAGCAUCAGGUAACAUCAAAUCGUACCCCAAACCGACACAGGUGGUCAGGUAGAGAAUACCAAGGCGCUUGAGAGAACUCGGGUGAAGGAACUAGGCAAAAUGGUGCCGUAACUUCGGGAGAAGGCACGCUGAUAUGUAGGUGAAGCGACUUGCUCGUGGAGCUGAAAUCAGUCGAAGAUACCAGCUGGCUGCAACUGUUUAUUAAAAACACAGCACUGUGCAAACACGAAAGUGGACGUAUACGGUGUGACGCCUGCCCGGUGCCGGAAGGUUAAUUGAUGGGGUCAGCGCAAGCGAAGCUCUUGAUCGAAGCCCCGGUAAACGGCGGCCGUAACUAUAACGGUCCUAAGGUAGCGAAAUUCCUUGUCGGGUAAGUUCCGACCUGCACGAAUGGCGUAAUGAUGGCCAGGCUGUCUCCACCCGAGACUCAGUGAAAUUGAACUCGCUGUGAAGAUGCAGUGUACCCGCGGCAAGACGGAAAGACCCCGUGAACCUUUACUAUAGCUUGACACUGAACAUUGAGCCUUGAUGUGUAGGAUAGGUGGGAGGCUUUGAAGUGUGGACGCCAGUCUGCAUGGAGCCGGCCUUGAAAUACCACCCUUUAAUGUUUGAUGUUCUAACGUUGACCCGUGAUCCGGGUUGCGGACAGUGUCUGGUGGGUAGUUUGACUGGGGCGGUCUCCUCCUAAAGAGUAACGGAGGAGCACGAAGGUUGGCUAAUCCUGGUCGGACAUCAGGAGGUUAGUGCAAUGGCAUAAGCCAGCUUGACUGCGAGCGUGACGGCGCGAGCAGGUGCGAAAGCAGGUCAUAGUGAUCCGGUGGUUCUGAAUGGAAGGGCCAUCGCUCAACGGAUAAAAGGUACUCCGGGGAUAACAGGCUGAUACCGCCCAAGAGUUCAUAUCGACGGCGGUGUUUGGCACCUCGAUGUCGGCUCAUCACAUCCUGGGGCUGAAGUAGGUCCCAAGGGUAUGGCUGUUCGCCAUUUAAAGUGGUACGCGAGCUGGGUUUAGAACGUCGUGAG